CCUACGGGAGGCAGCAGUGGGGAAUAUUGCACAAUGGGGGAAACCCUGAUGCAGCGACGCCGCGUGAGUGAAGAAGUAUUUCGGUACGUAAAGCUCUAUCAGCAGGGAAGAAAAUGACGGUACCUGACUAAGAAGCCCCGGCUAACUACGUGCCAGCAGCCGCGGUAAUACGUAGGGGGCAAGCGUUAUCCGGAUUUACUGGGUGUAAAGGGAGCGUAGACGGCAGCGCAAGUCUGGAGUGAAAUCCCAUGGCUUAACCAUGGAACUGCGUUGGAAACUGUGCAGCUAGAGUGCAGGAGAGGUAAGCGGAAUUCCGAGUGUAGCGGUGAAAUGCGUAGAUAUUAGGAGGAACACCAGUGGCGAAGGCGGCUUACUGGACUGUAACUGACGUUGAGGCUCGAAAGCGUGGGGAGCAAACAGGAUUAGAUACCCCAGUAGUC
rnacentral:rRNA from 1 species